GAUGAAUGCUAGCUACAGGCUUAACACAUGCAAGUCGAGGGACCGGCGCUCGGGUGAGUAACACGAUUCCAACCUGCCCGUUACUCGGGGGUAGCCUUUCGAAAGAAAGAUUAAUACCAGAUGUAAAGGAUGGGGAUGCGUUCCUUUAGGUUGUUGGUGAGGUAACGGCGCACCAAGCCGUCGAUGUAUAGGGGUUCUGAGAGGAAGGUCCCCCACAUUGGAACUGAGACACCGUCCAAACUCCUACGUGAGGCAGUAGUGAGGAAUAUUGGUCAAUGAGCGUUGGCCUGAACCAGCCAAGUAGCGUGAAGGAUGAAGGCUUAUGGGUCGUAAACUUCUUUUAUAUAAGAAUAUGUAUUAUAUGAAUAAGGAUCUGCUAACUCCGUGCCAGCAGCCGCGGUAAUUC
rnacentral:rRNA from 1 species